rnacentral:rRNA from 1 species
AACGAACGCUGGCGGCAGGCCUAACACAUGCAAGUCGAACGCUCUAGCAAUAGAGAGUGGCGCACGGGUGCGUAACGCGUGGGAAUAUGCCCUUGACUACGGAACAACGUCGGGAAACUGACGCUAAUACCGUAUAAUGUCUUCGGACCAAAGAUGUAUCGGUCAAGGAUUAGCCAGCGUCUGAUUAGCUAGUUGGUGAGGUAACGGCUCACCAAGGAGACGAUCAGUAGCUGGUCUGAGAGGAUGAUCAGCCACACUGGGACUGAGACACGGCCCAGACUCCUACGGGAGGCAGCAGUGAGGAAUAUUGGACAAUGGAGGCAACUCUGAUCCAGCCAUGCCGCGUGAGUGACGAAGGCCUUCGGGUUGUAAAGCUCUUUCAGAUGCGAAGAUAAUGACGGUAACAUCAGAAGAAGCCCCGGCUAAAUUCGUGCCAGCCGCCGCCGUAA